GCUGCUGGUCGCCAAGGAGACGACUGACAAUUUCCAGUUGCCAAGCCUCACCCUGGAGCUCUACAGAGACAUUAUGGAAACUCCCCACUCCUUCCUGCUCCUCAGCCAGGGAACUUGGAGAAUCUAGCCAGGUUGGGUGGAGGGCACUGGGAGGGGAUAGAGAGGAGGUGACAAGCCUGAAGAUGGAGAGAGCAGCUAGAAGUUUCCCUGGGCCCUGGCUUCCCCAACAGACCUCAAAAGUCUGGCCCACCCUUGAAGGCUAGGGCUGGCCUGGUGGGCAUCCCCUGUGCUGGGUCCAGACAGACUCCUACCAGGGACCUCCAACCAGACCCUCAACUACAGAGAACUGUCCCUAUAUUGUCAUUCCCGGCCUGGUAGCAGCACUGUUGCCAGAUGGGGCAGAACCCAGGAAGAACCUGGGAACUGAAGGGCUAGGAGUCUUUCCUGGGGGAAGGAACUGCAGCUGUCCUGAGCACUUUGCUCAUAUCAGACAGCACUCAAAUGCACUGAGGCCUAGUGUCACAGCCCGGGAAACAGCAACAACAGCAACGCUAAUAAUAAUAAUCGUAGUGGUGCAGUAGGUGUGACUCUUACUCUAUAAACUUAGGUGCACAAAAAUAUCCAUUUCUCUAUUUCACUAAAAUCAAGUAGAGUUGAGUUCAUUCCUGGGGCUCCUGCCUUUUUCCAGCGUCCCACCAGAACCCGGGGGCUUAUUGCUAUGGUUUAAAUGUGUCCCCAAAAUUCAGGUGUUGCCAGUGUGGUAGUAUUAAGAGAUGGGGUCUCCAAGAGGUGGUUGGGCCACGAGGGCUCCUCCCCUGUGAAUGGGAGUAGCUGCCCUUAUAAAAGGGCUUGACAAAGGGAGUUUAUCCCUUUUUGCCCUUCUGCCUUCCACUAUGUGGGGACAUGGCCUUCGUCUCCUCUGGAAGAUGCAGUGACAAGGCGCCAUCUUGGAAGACAACAGCUCUCACCAGACACCGGACCUGCUGGAGCCCCGGUCUUGGACUUCCCAGUCUCCAGAACUAUGAGGCCACAAGAUGGAGACGGAGCGGGUUGCUCACCCAAGUUCAUGCAGCGCCCAUCUGACGUUCCCCCGGGAGGAGCUGCAGGGCCUUCUUUCGAGGAGGUGGCAGAGGGGCUUCCUGCGUGCAAAGGAGGGUCCCACCAGCCCUUUUGGAACCUCAGCCUGGUCCUCCAGAAUUUCACCUCAAACUACUGGAGUCUAGGUCCUGAGUCCCUCCUUAUAAGCCCCUCAUUUCUGAGUUCAGCUACGAGGCCACUCCAGGGACUCCAGGUUGCCCCUUAGUCCACACAGUUGCCUGUCCUUCCCUCCAGGCUGAUGUGAGCCCUGGGGGCCCAGGCAGGCUGGGGAUGGAGGCCACGCAGUGAGGGUGGAGAGCACAGGCCCUGAGCAGGAGGGGACGAUGAGAAGCAGGCACCAGAACCUGGGAAUCCACAGCUUUACCUGCCCCAGGGCCCGGCUGCUGAGCUUGCACAGUGCAGAGCACAGCUCCAGGUGACCUCAGCUUGGAUGAAGCUCCUUGGGAAGGGGGGAAGGAGGGAAAGAGAGGAUCUCUUGUCAGGCCUCCAACCCUGCCACCAGAGGAUGGAAAAAUCUGACCCCAUCCCUGUGCCUUAAACUUAGACGCUCAAGAAACAUUUGUUCAAUUCAUUGUUUACGUUCUUUGGUUAAGAGGUAUAAGUAAGUUUAAGAGGCAGGAGCUAUACAUGCAUAAUCUCAUGUGUUCCUCACAGGAAAACCAUUAAAGGAAGAAAUUGAAGCUUAGAGAAGUUCUGUAAGAUGCUGAGGUCACACAGUAAUAAAGAGAUAAAUGUGUGUUCUCAUUACUGCGCUUUCUUGUCUCUCAAAGCAAGGAACCAGCUCACCUUGUCUCUCCCAGCUCCUCACCUCCCGAGGCAGCAGGGACAGGAGCCCUGGGCCUGUUCUCCCAUUCCAGACACAUCUCUUCUCUUCCAGACAGGGGCUGUGGCUCUGCCAUGGGGUUCCUGUUCUGGCAGAGCCAGGACACAGGAUGGGGGUAGGCUUCACCUCUGUGAUGGUCUGUUUUAUGUGUCAACUUGGCUAGGUCAUGGGGUACCCAGAUAUUUCAAACAUCACUCUGGGUGUUUCGGGAGGGUGUUCUGGGGUGAGAUGAACAUUUGAAUUGAUAGAAUCAGUAAAGAACAUUGCCCUCCCCAACAUGGGUGGGCCUCAUCCAAUCAGGUGACGGCCCGAACAGAACAAAAAGGCUGAGUAAGAUGGAACUCCGCCUGCCUGACUGCCUGAACUGGAACUGCGGUCUUUUCCUGCCUUCAGACUCAAACUGAAACCUCAGCUCUCCCUGGAUCUCAAGCCUGUGGACAGCAGAUCUUGAGAUUUGUCAGCCUCCAUAAUCACAUGACCCGAUUCCUUAUGAUAAAUCCCUUUCUGUAUAUACAUACAACCUCUUCGUUCUCUUUCUCUGGAGACCCCUGACUAAUAUACCCUCUCUCCCUGACUCUCCCUUCGAGGGUCCCCUUCCUAAGGGGAAAGAGCAGGUUGAGGAGCCCCACCUGACUUCCGUGUUCCUGAUGCCCCAGCUGA
rnacentral:lncRNA from 1 species